CUCCGGUUGAUCCCGCCGGACCCGACUGCUAUCAGAGUGAGAUUAAGCCAUGCGAGUUAACGUAGCAAUACGUGGCGCACGGCUCAGUAACACGUAGUCAACAUGCCCAGGGGACGUGGAUAACCUCGGGAAACUGAGGAUAAACCGCGAUAGGUCAUCACUUCUGGAAUGGGUAAUGACUUAAAUCUAUAUGGCCCCUGGAUUGGACUGCGGCCGAUCAGGCUGUUGGUGAGGUAAUGGCCCACCAAACCUGUAACCGGUACGGGCUCUGAGAGGAGGAGCCCGGAGAUGGGCACUGAGACAAGGGCCCAGGCCCUAUGGGGCGCAGCAGGCGCGAAACCUCUGCAAUAGGCGAAAGCUUGACAGGGUUACUCUGAGUGAUUUCCGUUAAGGAGAUCUUUUGGCACCUCUAAAAAUGGUGCAGAAUAAGGGGUGGGCAAGUCUGGUGUCAGCCGCCGCGGUAAUACCAGCACCCCGAGUGGUCGGGACGUUUAUUGGGCCUAAAGCAUCCGUAGCCGGUUCUACAAGUCUUCCGUUAAAUCCACCUGCUUAACAGAUGGGCUGCGGAAGAUACUAUAGAGCUAGGAGGCGGGAGAGGCAAGCGGUACUCGAUGGGUAGGGGUAAAAUCCGUUGAUCCAUUGAAGACCACCAGUGGCGAAGGCGGCUUGCCAGAACGCGCUCGACGGUGAGGGAUGAAAGCUGGGGGAGCAAACCGGAUUAGAUACCCGGGUAGUCCCAGCUGUAAACGAUGCAGACUCGGUGAUGAGUUGGCUUCUUGCCAACUCAGUGCCGCAGGGAAGCCGUUAAGUUUGCCGCCUGGGGAGUACGGUCGCAAGACUGAAACUUAAGGAAUUGGCGGGGGAGCA
rnacentral:rRNA from 1 species